rnacentral:rRNA from 1 species
UCGGGAAUUUUGGGCAAUGGGGGAAACCCUGACCCAGCAACGCCGCGUGAAGGAUGAAGUAUUUCGGUAUGUAAACUUCGAAAGAAUAGGAAGAAUAAAUGACGGUACUAUUUAUAAGGUCCGGCUAACUACGUGCCAGCAGCCGCGGUAAUACGUAGGGACCAAGCGUUGUUCGGAUUUACUGGGCGUAAAGGGCGCGUAGGCGGUGUGUCAAGUCAGUUGUGAAAUCUCCGAGCUUAACUCGGAACGGUCAAACUGAUACUGUCACACUAGAGUACAGAAGGGGCAAUCGGAAUUCUUGGUGUAGCGGUGAAAUGCGUAGAUAUCAAGAGGAACACCUGAGGCGAAGGCGGGUUGCUGGGCUGAUACUGACGCUGAGGCGCGAAAGCUAGGGUAGCAAACGGGAUUAGAUACCC